AUGAUACUAUUAAAAAUUGCCCUUUUUUUCCAAGCCGGUAUUAGACUCACAGCCAACACCUUCCUCCUUUUCUUCUGUAUCUGCACACUCCCUCUGGACUGCAGGUCUAAGCCCACUGACCUCAUCACCUGUCACCUGGCCCUUGUCCACUUAGUGAUGCUCCUCACUGUGAGCUUCUUGGCAUCUCCAGACCUGUUUGAGUCACAGUAUUUUCAGAAUGACUUCAAGCGUAAGGUAUUCUACAUGCAUAGAGGGAUGAGGGCUCUCCAUCUGUACCACCUGCUUCCGGAGUAUGUUCCAGGCUGUCACCAUUAGCUCCAGCACCUCCUGGUCGGCAAGAAUUAAACAGAAAUUCACACGUUGCAUCUUUCACUUCUUUGGGUUCUCAAUUUGUUUCUCAGUAAUAACCUGCCCUCCUCCACUGUGGCCUCUUCUAAUGUGACCAAUAGCAACGUGCUAAGUAUCAGUAAAUACUGUUCACUUUCUUACAUAAGGGACAACAUCAGGAGCCUGUUUUUCAUGCUGCCACUACUUACAGAUGUCUUCUUUGUAGCAAUCAUGUUUCUCUCAAGGGCAUACAUGGUAAUUAUUUUGUCCAGACAUCAGAGACAACCCCAGUACCUUCCCAGCACCAACCUCUCUGCAAAAGCCUCCCCAGAGAAAAGGGCCACACAGACCAUUCUGUUGCUGGUGAGUUGCUCUGUGGUCAUGUACUGGGUGGACCUUAUCAUCUCAUCAUCCUCAACCCUGUUAUGGGCUUAUGACUCAGUCAUCGUGGGUGUCCAGAUGCUUGUGGGCAAUUUCUGUUAGCCCUUUUAUGCUAAUUAGUUCUGAUAAAAGAAUAAUCAAAAUUUUGCAUAAUGUGUGAUAUAAAUAUCAUAGA
rnacentral:lncRNA from 1 species